UCCUGGUUAACCCAGGCAGUCUCGCUAGAGUUCCCAGCAUUACCUGUUGGCAACUAACGAUAAGGGUUGCGCUCGUUGCGGGACUUAACCCAACACCUCACGGCACGAGCUGACGACAGCCAUGCAGCACCUGUGCAGCGGCUCCGAAGAGCGUUACCAUCUCUGAUAACUUCCACUGCAUGUCAAGCCUGGGUAAGGUUCUUCGCGUUGCAUCGAAUUAAACCACAUGCUCCACUGCUUGUGCGGGUCCCCGUCAAUUCUUUUGAGUUUCACCCUUGCGAGCGUACUCCUCAGGCGGUAUACUUAUCGCGUUAGCUACGGCACAACCAGGGUUGAUUCCAGUUACACCAAGUAUACAUCGUUUACGGCAAGGACUAC
rnacentral:misc_RNA from 1 species